rnacentral:rRNA from 1 species
UGCAGAAGAAGCACCGGCUAACUCCGUGCCAGCAGCCGCGGUAAUACGGAGGGUGCGAGCGUUUAAUCGGAAUUACUGGGCGUAAAGCGCAUGCAGGUGGUUUGUUAAGUCAGAUGUGAAAGCCCCGGGGCUCAACCUCGGAAUUGCAUUUGAAACUGGCAAACUAGAGUACUGUAGAGGGGGUAGAAUUUCAGGUGUAGCGGUGAAAUGCGUAGAGAUCUGAAGGAAUACCGGUGGCGAAGGCGGCCCCCUGGACAGAUACUGACACUCAGAUCGCGAAAGCGUGGGGAGCAAACAGGAUUAGAUACCCUCGGUAG